rnacentral:rRNA from 1 species
UAACACAUGCAACUCGAGCGGUAACAGGGGUAGCUUGCUACCCGCUGACGAGCGGCGGACGGGUGAGUAAUGCCUAAGAAUCUGCCUAGUAGUGGGGGAUAGCCCGGGGAAACCCGGAUUAAUACCGCAUACGCCCUACGGGGGAAAGCGGGGGAUCUUCGGACCUCGCGCUAUUAGAUGAGCUCAGGUCGGAUUAGCUUGUUGGUGAGGUAAUGGCUCACCAAGGCGACGAUCCGUAGCUGGUCUGAGAGGAUGAUCAGCCACACUGGGACUGAGACACGGCCCAGACUCCUACGGGAGGCAGCAGUGGGGAAUAUUGGACAAUGGGCGAAAGCCUGAUCCAGCCAUGCCGCGUGUGUGAAGAAGGCUCUAGGGUUGUAAAGCACUUUAAGCAGGGAAGAUAGUGCGUUGGAUUAAUACUCCUACGUAUGGAC